ACCUGGCUGGCUCAGUCAGUAGAGCAUGGGACUCUUGAUCUCAGGGUUAUGAGUUCAAGCCCCAAGUUGAGUG
rnacentral:tRNA from 1 species